AGAAAAAACUUCGGUCAAGUUAUCUGGAGGUCCUGUGUUCGAUCCACAGAAUUCGCA
rnacentral:tRNA from 1 species